GAGAGGCUCCUUGUCCCGGCGCGCCGCCGGGGGAGCGGUGCCGCCCGUUGUCAGUAGGAGCAGAGCCCAGCUAGCUUUAGCUGCGAGCUUGUUUUUCAUUUUGCGUAUGCCCACUCUGUCUGGAAUCUGGCCCCGUCUAACAUUCACUCUGUAAAUAAAUAAAAAAAAUCCUCAUUAUUGAUUUUUAAAAUCAUGAAGGUCAAUGUAAACAUGUUUAACCUUUUAACAUCUUUAUUAGGGAAAUCUCGUUAGGACUUUAAUUUCACCUGAUAAUCUUUCACACACAAAAA
rnacentral:lncRNA from 1 species